rnacentral:rRNA from 1 species
CCUACGGGAGGCAGCAGUGAGGAAUAUUGGUCAAUGGGCGCGAGCCUGAACCAGCCAAGUAGCGUGAAGGAUGACUGCCCUACGGGUUGUAAACUUCUUUUUUAAAGGAAUAAAGUGAUGCACGUGUGCGUUUUUGUAUGUAUGUUAUGAAUAAGGAUCGGCUAACUCCGUGCCAGCAGCCGCGGUAAUACGGAGGAUCCGAGCGUUAUCCGGAUUUAUUGGGUUUAAAGGGAGCGUAGAUGGGUUGUUAAGUCAGUUGUGAAAGUUUGCGGCUCAACCGUAAAAUUGCAAUUGAAACUGGCAGACUUGAGUACAGUAGAGGUAGGCGGAAUUCGUGGUGUAGCGGUGAAAUGCGUAGAUAUCACGAAGAACUCCGAUUGCGAAGGCAGCCUACUAGACUGCCACUGACACUGAGGCUCGAAAGUGUGUGUAUCAAACAGGAUUAGAUACCCGAGUAGUC